GUGUCAGCAGCCGCGGUAAGACAGAGGGUGCGAACGUUGCUCGGAAUUACUGGGCGUAAAGCGCGUGUAGGCGGGCCGACAAGUCGGAUGUGAAAUCCCCGGGCUCAACCCGGGAACUGCACCCGAAACUGUCGGUCUUGAGUGCCGGAGAGGGUGGCGGAAUUCCUGGUGUAGAGGUGAAAUUCGUAGAUAUCAGGAGGAACACCGGUGGCGAAGGCGGCCACCUGGACGGCUACUGACGCUGAGACGCGAAAGCGUGGGGAGCAAACAGGAUUAGAAACCCGCGUAGUCC
rnacentral:rRNA from 1 species